rnacentral:rRNA from 1 species
UUCAGUCAGCGAUACCCUCGGGAAACUGAGGUUAACAGCUGAUACAAAACGCCAGCUGGAAUGCGGCGUUUCAGAAAGACAUCGCUGAAGGAUGCGGCUGCGGCCGAUUAGGUUGACGGUGGGGUAACGGCCCACCGUGCCAGUAAUCGGUACGGGUGAUGAGAGUCAGAGCCCGGAGACGGAAUCUGAGACAAGAUUCCGGGCCCUACGGGGCGCAGCAGGCGCGAAACCUUUACACUGCACGGAAGUGCGAUAGGGGAAUCCCAAGUGCGAGGGCAUAUUAGCCCCCGCUUUUCUCGACUGUAAGGUGGUCGACGAACAAGAGCUGGGCAAGACCGGUGCCAGCCGCCGCGGUAAUACCGGCAGCUCAAGUGAUGUCCCAUAUUAUUGGGCCUAAAGCGUCCGUAGCUGGCCGACCAAGUCUACCGGGAAAUCCACCCGCCCAACGGGUGGGCGUCCGGUAGAAACUGGCCGGCUUGGAACCGGAAGGCUCAGAGAGUACGUCCGGGGUAGGAGUGAAAUCCCGUAAUCCCGGACGGACUACCGAUGGCGAAAGCACUCUGAGAAGACGGCUUCGACAGUGAGGGACGGAAGCUCGGGUCUCAAACCGGAUUAGAUACCCGGGUAGUC